UUGGGCCACCUAUUUGCAACAGCACCUAAGUCUGGAUGAUAGAAGAAACGAAGAAAAAAGAAGCGGGGGACUGAGUCCCUAUCCUUCCAUGUUCUUCCCUAGAGGAAUUCUGCCACAACUGGGGUGUUGGUGCAGAGCGGAGAACUCUCCUCUAGAAUCCCAGCUUCCUGACCAAGAAGACCAGGUGUAACGCUGACCUCAGAGAAAGAUGGACGUUGAGCAGUUCUCACUGCACCUGCUGUACCCACACAUAGUAAGGAACAGAGUCUGGGGCCCAACCAAUUAGCUCCUGAUGCAUCUAACCGGCUACAUCUUUGAAGACAGUGUUCUUUCUUCAUCUAUGUCAGGAGUUAACAACAAGAUGCUUAUGGCGUCAG